rnacentral:rRNA from 1 species
CACCGCCCGUCACACCACGAAAGCAAGCAACACCCGAAGUCGGUGAGCUAACUCGCGAAGAGAGGCAGCCGCCGAAGGUGGGCUCGUGAUUGGGGUG